UACGUAGGCAGCAAGCGUUGUUCGGAGUUACUGGGCGUAAAGGGUGUGUAGGCGGUUGUUUAAGGUUGAUGGGAAAUCCCGGGGCUCAACCCUGGAAUUGCAUUGAAUACUACCUUGCUAGAGUACCGGAGAGGAAACUGGAAUUUACGGUGUAGCAGUGAAAUGCGUAGAGAUCGUAAGGAAGACCAGUGGCGAAGGCGAGUUUCUGGACGGUAACUGACGCUGAGGCACGAAGGCCAGGGGAGCAAACGGG
rnacentral:rRNA from 1 species